rnacentral:sRNA from 1 species
CUGAUAUAAAUCAUCACACAAGGGAGAGAAUAAAUCGGAAAAAAUAAUGCUCAGAUUCCUUUGGAAUCUCGGGCAAGGGGCUCUUCAGUCAAGAAAGACCCAGAUUUUGUGAUAGAAGCAUUGGGGAGGUGAGGCGAAAUGAGGUCUUGGGGCCCAAGAACCAGAAACAGUUCUCGAAUGCUAUUCAAGGAAUGCCCUAAGGGGGAAACCUAAGAAAAAGUAAGGAAUCUGGAAAUUGCUUUCACCACAUGGCUUUAUCAGUGAAGGUAGGAGAGAGGGUAUCCUAAUGAAUGCUGACUUACCUAUUCUGCUGAUUCCCACAGCACACAGGUAACACUUCUGCUUUCUCUUUGCAGAGCUGAUGAGAUUUUCUGACCACGGGGCUGCUCUUAACACUGAGAAGCGUUUUCCAUGUGAAUUUUGUGGACGGGCGUUUUCACAGGGCUCUGAGUGGGAAAGACAUGUGCUGAGACACGGCAUGGCAUUGAAUGACACCAAGCAGGUGAGCAGAGAAGAAAUCCACCCAAAAGAGAUCAUGGAGAACAGUGUUAAAAUGCCCUCCAUAGAGGAAAAGGAAGAUGACGAGGCCAUUGGGAUAGACUUUUCCCUAAAGAAUGAAACAGUAGCCAUCUGUGUAGUAACUGCCGACAAAUCUCUUCUGGAGAAUGCAGAGGCC